CCCUACGGGAGGCAGCAGUAGGGAAUCUUCCGCAAUGGACGAAAGUCUGACGGAGCAACGCCGCGUGAACGAUGAAGGCCUUCGGGUCGUAAAGUUCUGUUGUUAGGGAAGAACAAGUGCUAGUUAAAUAAGCUGGCACCUUGACGGUACCUAACCAGAAAGCCACGGCUAACUACGUGCCAGCAGCCGCGGUAAUACGUAGGUGGCAAGCGUUGUCCGGAAUUAUUGGGCGUAAAGCGCGCGCAGGCGGUUUCUUAAGUCUGAUGUGAAAGCCCCCGGCUCAACCGGGGAGGGUCAUUGGAAACUGGGAAACUUGAGUGCAGAAGAGGAAAGUGGAAUUCCAAGUGUAGCGGUGAAAUGCGUAGAGAUUUGGAGGAACACCAGUGGCGAAGGCGACUUUCUGGUCUGUAACUGACGCUGAGGCGCGAAAGCGUGGGGAGCAAACAGGAUUAGAUACCCUGGUAGUCCACGCUGUAAACGAUGAGUGUUAAGUGUUAGAGGGUUUCCGCCCUUUAGUGCUGAAGUUAACGCAUUAAGCACUCCGCCUGGGGAGUACGGUCGCAAGACUGAAACUCAAAAGGAAUUGACGG
rnacentral:rRNA from 1 species